AUUUAAUUGAUUUCAGAUUUAAGUGAUUUCAGAUUUAAGUUAUUUCAGAUUUAAGGGAUUUCAGAUUUAAGGGAUUUCAGAUUUAAGGGAUUUCAGAUUUAAGGGAUUUCAGAUUUAAGGGAUUUCAGAUUUAAGGGAUUUCAGAUUUAAGGGAUUUCAGAUUUAAGGGAUUUCAGAUUUAAGGGAUUUCAGAUUUAAGGGAUUUCAGAUUUAAGGGAUUUCAGAUUUAAGGGAUUUCAGAUUUAAGGGAUUUCAGAUUUAAGGGAUUUCAGAUUUAAGGGAUUUCAGAUUCAAGGGAUUUCAGAUUUAAGGGAUUUCAGAUUUAAGGGAUUUCAGAUUUAAGGGGUUUCAGAUUUAAGGGAUUUCAGAUUUAAGGGAUUUCAGAUUUGAUGGAUUUCAGAUUUAAGGGAUUUCAGAUUUAAGGGAUUUCAGAGUUAAGGGAUUUCAGAUUUAAGGGAUUUCAGAUUUAAGGGAUUUCAGAGUUAAGGGAUUUCAGAUUUAAGGGAUUUCAGAUUUAAGGGAUUUCAGAUUUAAGGGAUUUCAGAUUUAAGGGAUUUCAGAUUUAAGGGAUUUCAGAUUUAAGGGAUUUCAGAUUUAAGGGAUUUCAGAUUUAAGGGAUUUCAGAUUUAAGGGAUUUCAGAUUUAAGGGAUUUCAGAUUUAAGGGAUUUCAGAUUUAAGGGAUUUCAGAUUUAAGGGAUUUCAGAUUUAAGGGAUUUCAGAUUUAAGGGAAUUCAGAUUUAAGGGAUUUCAGAUUUAAGGGAUUUCAGAUUUAAGGGAUUUCAGAUUUAACGGAUUUCAGAUUUAAGGGAUUUCAGAUUUAAGGGAUUUCAGAUUUAAGGGAUUUCAGAUUUAAGGGAUUUCAGAUUUAAGGGAUUUCAGAGUUAAGGGAUUUCAGAGUUAAGGGAUUUCAGAUUUAAGGGAUUUCAGAUUUAAGGGAUUUCAGAUUUAAGGGAUUUCAGAUUUAAGGGAUUUCAGAUUUAAGGGACCACAAAAUCUCAAUGGACAAAUACCUGGCAAUGGAAAUUCGUUAGUAGAUUUGUAGAUUUGUCUGGUGUGAUACUGGAUUUAUAAACGUCAAAACCCUAAGAUAACAAUAAACACAGAAAAUCCUAUUAAAAUAAACAAAAAUAAUAUUAUGUAUAGUACGUAGAGUGCUGUCUCCAGGUUUGAGGUAAAGAGGUGAACAUUGCGGGUCACAGACGCUGAAAUCGCAAACUUUGAACCUUUAUUCUUACUUGGAAAAUUGAAAACGGUUCCGAGGUAGAAGGGAGGCGGGGUAGAUUUGUCCGUAUUUUCAAGCAACAGGUCACCUUCCCUCUUUUAAUCCGUUAAAUCGAGGGCAGAGUGUAUAUAUGUACGCAGGUUAGUCUUCCUCUGUGUGUUUCCUAAUUCUGUUUUUCUUGUGUACUGUCCUCGCUCCGUGUUUGGGGAAGCGUUUUGUCUUUAGUUUCGCCGAUAACACAAACGUCAGUGAUGAACUUGGACUGCCAUAACUACGAUGUCUAUUUACUUCCUCUUAAGUCCUAUUUCGAUUUACUUUCUUUUGUUCUGUUCUAUCUAUCUCCUCUCUCCUCUGUCUAUCUCUCUCUCUCUUUGUCCAUUCUCCCUUCUGUGUCCUCUUGUUCCCAUUUAUUCUCCCUUCUCAUCUUUCUACUCAUUCUCCUGUCUAUCUCUCUCUCUUCUUUGUCCAUCUCCUCUCCUCUGUCUAUCUCUCUCUCUUCUUUGUCCAUCUCCUCUCCUCUGUCUAUCUCUCUCUCUUCUUUGUCCAUCUCCUCUCCUCUGUCUAUCUCUCUUCUUUGUCCAUCUCCUCUCCUCUCUUCUUUCCAUUCAUCUUCUCUGCCACCUGUGUCCUGGAGCCCCUACUCUUUCUCUGUGUCUAUAUAUACUCUUGCAUGUGGCGUCAAACUCUCAGGGGUGACUGCAGUAGACAUCUCCAUUCACUCCAUGUUCAUGCACUCCUUCCUUAUACUCCUGUUGCCUGUAUGUCUGUUUAACCCCCUAUUCUUCUGCCCUAUCCUUCUCUGUGUCUAUAUAUACUCUUGCAUGUGGCGUCAAACUCUCUCGGAGGUGACAGCAGUAGACGUCUCCAUUCAUACACACACUCAUUCCUUGUACACUCCACUCCUGUUGCCUGUGUUUAUGCUCAAGGGGUGACCAGUGUGAUGUGUUCCCACCCUCACACUCCUUCCUUGCACACUCCAGUCCACUCCUCUGUUGCCUGUCUGUUUAUGCUCAAGGGGUGACCAGUGUGACAGUGUUCCCACCCUCACACUCCUUCCUUGCACACUCCAGUCCCUUCACUCCUGUAUUGCCUGUGUUUAUGCUCAAGGGGUGACCAGUGUGACAGUGUUCCCACCCUCACCCUCCAGUCCCUUCACUCCUGUAUUGCCUGUCUGUCUGUUCUUAAGGGGUCCCCAUGGCAGUAGAGUCUCCUUGUUCCCACCCAUACAGUCCUUCCCUGCAUAAGUUAAACCCCUUCAAAAUUCUAAUAGUCUUUCCCUUUCAGCACGUUUUCACUUUCCUAUCAUUAUUUCCUUAUUAUUUCUUCCAUUAUCCAUAUUUUCCUGCUUUGUCUACUUGGUAUUUCCUCGCUAAGUAAAGAGGGAGUGCGCGGAUAUGAAGGAUAGAGUGAAUGUUUUUUUAUGUACAAGAAUUUUCCGAGUCAUAUGAGUGUGGUGAGAAGCUGUACUGUUAUGAUGAUUAUUAAUAUUACUGAUACUGCA